rnacentral:rRNA from 1 species
AUCAACGCUGGCGGCGUGCCUAACACAUGCAAGUCGAACGCGAAAACCCCGCAAGGGGUUAGUAGAGUGGCAAACGGGUGAGUAACACGUGGGUGACCUGCCUUCGAGUGGGGGGAUAACGUCCCGAAAGGGACGCUAAUACCGCAUGACAUCCUGCUUUUGGAAAAGCGGAGAUCAAAGCUGGGGAUUCGCAAGAACCUGGCGCUUGAAGAGGGGCCCGCGCCUGAUUAGCUAGUUGGUAGGUAACGGCCUACCAAGGCGACGAUCAGUAUCCGGCCUGAGAGGGCGGACGGACACACUGGGACUGAGACACGGCCCAGACUCCUACGGGAGGCAGCAGUGGGGAAUUGUUCGCAAUGGGCGAAAGCCUGACGACGCAACGCCGCGUGGAGG